UUCGUCCAGGGGGCCGCCUUCGCCACCGGUAUUCCUCCAGAUCUCUACGCAUUUCACCGCUACACCUGGAAUUCUACCCCCCUCUACGAGACUCAAGCUUGCCAGUAUCAGAUGCAGUUCCCAGGUUGAGCCCGGGGAUUUCACAUCUGACUUAACAAACCGCCUGCGUGCGCUUUACGCCCAGUAAUUCCGAUUAACGCUUGCACCCUCCGUAUUACCGCGGCUGCUGGCACGGAGUUAGCCGGUGCUUCUUCUGCGGGUAACGUCAAUGAGCAAAGGUAUUAACUUUACUCCCUUCCUCCCCGCUGAAAGUACUUUACAACCCGAAGGCCUUCUUCAUACACGCGGCAUGGCUGCAUCAGGCUUGCGCCCAUUGUGCAAUAUUCCCCACUGCUGCCUCCCGUAGGAGUCUGGACCGUGUCUCAGUUCCAGUGUGGCUGGUCAUCCUCUCAGACCAGCUAGGGAUCGUCGCCUAGGUGAGCCGUUACCCCACCUACUAGCUAAUCCCAUCUGGGCACAUCCGAUGGCAAGAGGCCCGAAGGUCCCCCUCUUUGGUCUUGCGACGUUAUGCGGUAUUAGCUACCGUUUCCAGUAGUUAUCCCCCUCCAUCAGGCAGUUUCCCAGACAUUACUCACCCGUCCGCCACUCGUCAGCAAAGAAGCAAGCUGCUUCCUGUUACCGUUCGACUUGCAUGUGUUA
rnacentral:rRNA from 1 species